rnacentral:lncRNA from 1 species
GGGCAUAUGCUUGUUAUUUCUCCCUUAUCUGUCUCAUGGUUAGUGAUCAUUUGACUUAAAAGAGGCACGAGAUUUCUAGAUCAGAUUGUUGGGUUCCAUCCACAUAGCGAAAAAUAAUUUUUAAAAAUUUUAAAAUCAAACAAGUUAAUAGCUUUAUCAAAUAAAACUACCGAGCCAGAAUCUAAACCCUAGAAUCACCCUGUUGAUAUC